AUUGAACGCUGGCGGCAGGCCUAACACAUGCAAGUCGAACGAGUGGCGGACGGGUGAGUAAUGUCUGUGAAACUGCCUGAUGGAGGGGGAUAACUACUGGAAACGGUAGCUAAUACCGCAUACCAUCAUAUGUUCCCAGCUGUGUUUAGCUAGUUGGUGGGGUAACGGCUCACCUAGGCGACGAUCCCUAGCUGGUGUGCGAGGCUGACCAGCCACACUGUAACUGAGACACGGUCCAGACUCCUACGGGAGGCAGCAGUGGGUAAUAUUGCACAAUGGGCGCAAGCCGGAGGCAGCCAUGCCGCGUGUAUGAAGAAGGCCUUCGGGUUUUAAAGUACUUUCAGCGGGGAGGCGUUACCCGAAGAAGAAGCACCGGCUAACGCCGUGCCAGCAGCCGCGGUAAUAG
rnacentral:rRNA from 1 species